rnacentral:rRNA from 3 species
GUGGCUUCCGGAGCUAACGCGUUAAGUCGACCGCCUGGGGAGUACGGCCGCAAGGUUAAAACUCAAAUGAAUUGACGGGGGCCCGCACAAGCGGUGGAGCAUGUGGUUUAAUUCGAUGCAACGCGAAGAACCUUACCUGGUCUUGACAUCCACGGAAGUUUUCAGAGAUGAGAAUGUGCCUUCGGGAACCGUGAGACAGGUGCUGCAUGGCUGUCGUCAGCUCGUGUUGUGAAAUGUUGGGUUAAGUCCCGCAACGAGCGCAACCCUUAUCCUUUGUUGCCAGCGGUCCGGCCGGGAACUCAAAGGAGACUGCCAGUGAUAAACUGGAGGAAGGUGGGGAUGACGUCAAGUCAUCAUGGCCCUUACGACCAGGGCUACACACGUGCUACAAUGGCGCAUACAAAGAGAAGCGACCUCGCGAGAGCAAGCGGACCUCAUAAAGUGCGUCGUAGUCCGGAUUGGAGUCUGCAACUCGACUCCAUGAAGUCGGAAUCGCUAGUAAUCGUGGAUCAGAAUGCCACGGUGAAUACGUUCCCGGGCCUUGUACACACCGCCCGUCACACCAUGGGAGUGGGUUGCAAAAGAAGUAGGUAGCUUAACCUUCGGGAGGGCGCUUACCACUUUGUGAUUCAUGACUGGGGUGAAGUCGUAACAAGGUAACCGUAGGGGAACCUGCGGUUG